rfam:Operophtera brumata OBRT01_Sc00543, whole genome shotgun sequence.
GCUUCGUGAAAGACAUGAGUGGUGAGAUGUCUACGACAUCACUAAUUCUCACUACCUUGUCUUUCAUGCUGAU